rnacentral:rRNA from 1 species
UACGAAGGGGGCUAGCGAUGCUCGGAAUCACUGGGCGUAAAGGGUGCGUAGGCGGGUCUUUUAAGUCAGGGGUGAAAUCCUGGAGCUCAACUCCAGAACUGCCUUUGAUACUGAAGAUCUUGAGUUCGGGAGAGGUGAGUGGAACUGCGAGUGUAGAGGUGAAAUUCGUAGAUAUUCGCAAGAACACCAGUGGCGAAGGCGGCUCACUGGCCCGAUACUGACGCUGAGGCACGAAAGCGUGGGGGAGCAAACAGG